GGAGAUAUAGCUCAGUUGGUAGAGCAAAGGACUGAAAAUCCUUGUGUCAGUGGUUCAAUUCCACUUAUCUCAACA
rnacentral:tRNA from 1 species